rnacentral:rRNA from 1 species
AGAGCGAACGCUGGCGGCAGGCCUAACACAUGCAAGUCGAGCGCCCGUAGCAAUACGGGAGCGGCAGACGGGAUAGUAACACGUGGGAACGCGCCCUUCGGUUCGGAAUAACUCAGGGAAACUUGAGCUAAUACCGGAUACGCCCUUACGGGGAAAGAUUUAUUGCCGAAGGAACGGCCCGCGUCCGAUUAGCUAGUUGGUGAGGUAAUGGCUCACCAAGGCUACGAUCGGUAGCUGGUCUGAGAGGAUGACCAGCAUCACUGGGACUGAGACACGGCCCAGACUCCUACGGGAGGCAGCAGUGGGGAAUAUGGACAAUGGGCGCAAGCCUGAUCCAGCCAUGCCGCGUGGAUGAUGAAGGCCUUAGGGUUGUAAAGUCCUUUUAACGGGGAAGAUAAUGACGGUACCGUAGAAUAAGCCCCGGCUAACUUCGUGCCAGCAGCCGC